rnacentral:rRNA from 1 species
GACGAACGCUGGCGGCGUGCUUAACACAUGCAAGUCGAACGGAAAGGCCCUGCUUUUGUGGGGUGCUCGAGUGGCGAACGGGUGAGUAACACGUGAGUAACCUGCCCUAGUCUUUGGGAUAACUUCAGGAAACUGGGGCUAAUAUAGGAUAGGAGCCGCCGUUGCAGGGUGGGGGUUGGAACGUUUCUGCGGGUGGGGAUGGACUCGCGGAUUAUCAGCUUGUUGGUGGGGUAGUGGCAUACCAAGGAUUUGGCGGGUAGCCGGCCUGAGAGGGUGGCCGGCCACAUUGGGACUGAGAUACGGCCCAGACUCCUACGGGAGGCAGCAGUGGGGAAUAUUGCACAAUGGGCGGAAGCCUGAUGCAGCGGCGCCGCGGUCGUGAUGACGGCCUUCUGGUUGUAAACCGCUUUCGCCUGUGACGAAGCGUGAGUGACGGUAAUGGGUAAAGAAGCACCGGCUAACUACGUG